rnacentral:tRNA from 1 species
GAGGAUAUAGCUCAGUGAUAGAGCACAUGCUUGGCAUGCAUGAGGUCAUGGGUUCAAUCCCGAGUCCCUCC